AUUGAACGCUGGCGGCAUGCCUUACACAUGCAAGUCGAACGGUAGCGGGCCUUCGGGUGCCGACGAGUGGCGAACGGGUGAGUAAUAUAUCGGAACGUACCUUUCAGUGGGGGAUAACGUAGCGAAAGUUACGCUAAUACCGCAUAUUCUGUGCGCAGGAAAGCAGGGGACCUUCGGGCCUUGCGCUGAUUGAGCGGCCGAUAUCAGAUUAGCUAGUUGGUUAGGUAAAGGCUCACCAAGGCGACGAUCUGUAGCGAGUCUGAGAGGAUGGUCCGCCACACUGGAACUGGGACACGGUCCAGACUCCUACGGGAGGCAGCAGUGGGGAAUUUUGGACAAUGGGGGCAACCCUGAUCCAGCCAUGCCGCGUGAGUGAAGAAGGCCUUCGGGUUGUAAAGCUCUUUCGGCCGGGAAGAAAUCGUAUGGGCUAAUACCCUGUGCGGAUGACGGUACCGGCAUAAGAAGCACCGGCUAACUACGUGCCAGCCGCCGCGGUAAUAC
rnacentral:rRNA from 1 species